AAUUGUUGCUCAGGGCUUAGAUAGGUGCAUGGCUUAACCAUAAUGGUGAGAGUUGAGACACUGCCUAAUUGUGGUUGGGUAGCUGAUAAUCUGAUAUGGUGUGGGUGAAUUGUUGCUCAGGGCUUAGAUAGGUGCAUGACUUAACCACAAUGGUGAGACACUGCCUAAUUGAGGUUGGAUAGCUGAUAAUCUGAUAUGGUGUGGGUGUCCUCAUCGCAAACCAAAAUGGCCUGCCCCAUGUUUGACACUACCAUUUCAUCAAGAACGACUUCAUGUAACUUAUGUCCCUAAAAGAAUUCUUCCUGCGGAUGAUGGUCGAUUUCAGCAAAAUUUGAUUAAUUUUGUGAGAUGAGGCCGGCUGAGAUGAAAAGGAGAGCAAUAUAUUUCUUAGAAAUAAGGGUUUAUUGUUGGAGAAAAGUA
rnacentral:lncRNA from 1 species